GAUGAACGCUGGCGGCGUGCCUAAUACAUGCAAGUCGAGCGAACAGACUAGGAGCUUGCUCCUCUGACGUUAGCGGCGGACGGGUGAGUAACACGUGGAUAACCUACCUAUAAGACUGGGAUAACUUCGGGAAACCGGAGCUAAUACCGGAUAAUAUAUUGAACCGCAUGGUUCAAUAGUGAAAGAUGGUUUUGCUGUCACUUAUAGAUGGAUCCGCGCCGCAUUAGCUAGUUGGUAAGGUAACGGCUUACCAAGGCAACGAUGCGUAGCCGACCUGAGAGGGUGAUCGGCCACACUGGAACUGAGACACGGUCCAGACUCCUACGGGAGGCAGCAGUAGGGAAUCUUCCGAAAUGGGCGAAAGCCUGACGGAGCAACGCCGCGUGAGUGAUGAAGGUCUUCGGAUCGUAAAACUCUGUUAUUAGGGAAGAACAAAUGUGUAAGUAACUAUGCACGUCUUGACGGUACCUAAUCAGAAAGCCACGGCUAACUACGUG
rnacentral:rRNA from 1 species